GCGAUACUGGCCGAGUGGUUAAGGCGUUGGAUUUAAGGGACUUCCCUUUUGUUUCCCAAUGGGUUUCAUCCCGCACGAGUUCGAUCCUCGUGUAUCGCA